UAAAAUUGAGAUAGAAUAUUUUUAUAAGUAUUACCUCCAUGAUGCUAUUAGGUUUUUAGCCAUUGGAUCUACUCCUUGAUUAUUAAUAGUCCUUGAAUCAAACACUAUUCCACCUACUACCACCUACCACCAUCAUCUCAACCUCACAUCUCUCCAUCCAAUGGCUAAAAACUCAAAAGCACCACUCACAUAAUACUUUUACAAGUAUUCUAGCUCAACUCUCUCUCUCUCUCUCUCUAUAUAUAU
rnacentral:lncRNA from 1 species